AUUCAUAAUGUUGUUUUCCUAGUUUUCUCUGAUACCCCUCAGCCCAAUUGUUACAUAUUCAGUAAUGACUAAGCGAAGUUAAUUCUGUUUCCUAAAUAUGUUACUCAGUUGUCCUCAUCACUCUGCUUAUCAUGUCACUGCUUGACUUUAUUCCCAUCUUCCCUCUUAUCUAGACCAAGGGAGGAGGCAACGGGCAGAGAGGAGGGAACAGAACAAUGUCCACGUGGCUGAAAUAAAGGAUAUGACAGAGGAUUGGUGCAAGUUAAAGAUGGAAGUGGAGAUCUGUGGAGAAGGGCCUUGCAAGUUUUGCAUAAGUUCUAGAGGAUAGAAGUGACCAC
rnacentral:lncRNA from 13 species